GUGGAUCAGUGGCGAACGGGUGAGUAACACGUGAGCAACCUGCCCUGGACUCUGGGAUAAGCGCUGGAAACGGCGUCUAAUACUGGAUAUGAACCACGAAGGCAUCUUCAGUGGUUGGAAAGAUUUUUCGGUCUGGGAUGGGCUCGCGGCCUAUCAGCUUGUUGGUGAGGUAAUGGCUCACCAAGGCGUCGACGGGUAGCCGGCCUGAGAGGGUGACCGGCCACACUGGGACUGAGACACGGCCCAGACUCCUACGGGAGGCAGCAGUGGGGAAUAUUGCACAAUGGGCGGAAGCCUGAUGCAGCAACGCCGCGUGAGGGAUGACGGCCUUCGGGUUGUAAACCUCUUUUAGCAAGGAAGAAGCUUUUGUGACGGUACUUGCAGAAAAAGCGCCGGCUAACUACGUGCCAGCAGCCGCGGUAAUACGUAGGGCGCAAGCGUUAUCCGGAAUUAUUGGGCGUAAAGAGCUCGUAGGCGGUUUGUCGCGUCUGCUGUGAAAUCCCGAGGCUCAACCUCGGGCCUGCAGUGGGUACGGGCAGACUAGAGUGCGGUAGGGGAGAUUGGAAUUCCUGGUGUAGCGGUGGAAUGCGCAGAUAUCAGGAGGAACACCGAUGGCGAAGGCAGAUCUCUGGGCCGUAACUGACGCUGAGGAGCGAAAGGG
rnacentral:rRNA from 1 species